rnacentral:rRNA from 1 species
AAGACAGUUCGGUCUCCUAUCUACCGUGGACGUUGAAACUUGAGGGGGCUCCUCCUUAGUACGCAAGGACCAGGAGGAAUGAACCUCUGGUAUACCAGUUGUUCUACCAAGAGCAUUGCUGGGUAGCCACGUUCAGUUUGGAUAAAUGCUGAAAGCAUAUAAGCGUGAAGCUGUCCCCAAGAUUAGGUUUCAUAAGCUCCUAGAAGAUUACUAGGUAUAUAGGCUUCAGGUGUAAGUCCAGCAAUGGAUUGAGCCGAGAAGUCCUAAUAAGCUAUU